UGAACGCUGGCGGCAUGCCUUACACAUGCAAGUCGAACGGCAGCACGGGUGCUUGCACCUGGUGGCGAGUGGCGAACGGGUGAGUAAUACAUCGGAACAUGUCCUGUAGUGGGGGAUAGCCCGGCGAAAGCCGGAUUAAUACCGCAUACGAUCUACGGAUGAAAGCGGGGGACCUUCGGGCCUCGCGCUAUAGGGUUGGCCGAUGGCUGAUUAGCUAGUUGGUGGGGUAAAGGCCUACCAAGGCGACGAUCAGUAGCUGGUCUGAGAGGACGACCAGCCACACUGGGACUGAGACACGGCCCAGACUCCUACGGGAGGCAGCAGUGGGGAAUUUUGGACAAUGGGCGAAAGCCUGAUCCAGCAAUGCCGCGUGUGUGAAGAAGGCCUUCGGGUUGUAAAGCACUUUUGUCCGGAAAGAAAUCCUUGGCUCUAAUACAGUCGGGGGAUGACGGUACCGGAAGAAUAAGCACCGGCUAACUACGUGCCAGCAGCCGCGGUAAUACGUAGGGUGCGAGCGUUAAUCGGAAUUACUGGGCGUAAAGCGUGCGCAGGCGGUUUGCUAAGACCGAUGUGAAAUCCCCGGGCUCAACCUGGGAACUGCAUUGGUGACUGGCAGGCUAGAGUAUGGCAGAGGGGGGUAGAAUUCCACGUGUAGCAGUGAAAUGCGUAGAGAUGUGGAGGAAUACCGAUGGCGAAGGCAGCCCCCUGGGCCAAUACUGACGCUCAUGCACGAAAGCGUGGGGAGCAAACAGGAUUAGAUACCCUGGUAGUCCACGCCCUAAACGAUGUCAACUAGUUGUUGGGGAUUCAUUUCCUUAGUAACGUAGCUAACGCGUGAAGUUGACCGCCUGGGGAGUACGGUCGCAAGAUUAAAACUCAAAGGAAUUGACGGGGACCCGCACAAGCGGUGGAUGAUGUGGAUUAAUUCGAUGCAACGCGAAAAACCUUACCUACCCUUGACAUGGUCGGAAUCCUGCUGAGAGGCGGGAGUGCUCGAAAGAGAACCGGCGCACAGGUGCUGCAUGGCUGUCGUCAGCUCGUGUCGUGAGAUGUUGGGUUAAGCCCCGCAACGAGCGCAACCCUUGUCCUUAGUUGCUACGCAAGAGCACUCUAAGGAGACUGCCGGUGACAAACCGGAGGAAGGUGGGGAUGACGUCAAGUCCUCAUGGCCCUUAUGGGUAGGGCUUCACACGUCAUACAAUGGUCGGAACAGAGGGUUGCCAACCCGCGAGGGGGAGCUAAUCCCAGAAAACCGAUCGUAGUCCGGAUUGCACUCUGCAACUCGAGUGCAUGAAGCUGGAAUCGCUAGUAAUCGCGGAUCAGCAUGCCACGGUGAAUACGUUCCCGGGUCUUGUACACACCGCCCGUC
rnacentral:rRNA from 1 species